rnacentral:rRNA from 1 species
UACGUAGGGUGCGAGCGUGUCCGGAAUUAUUGGGCGUAAAGAGCUUGUAGGCGGUUUGUCGCGUCUGCUGUGAAAUCCGGGCUCAACCCGGACUUGCAGUGGGUACGGGCAGACUAGAGUGUGGUAGGGGAGACUGGAAUUCCUGGUGUAGCGGUGAAAUGCGCAGAUAUCAGGAGGAACACCGAUGGCGAAGGCAGGUCUCUGGGCCACUACUGACGCUGAGAAGCGAAAGCAUGGGGAGCGAACAGG